rnacentral:rRNA from 1 species
UACGUAGGGGGCAAGCGUUAUCCGGAUUUACUGGGUGUAAAGGGAGCGCAGACGGCAAUGCAAGCCUGGAGUGAAAGGCGGGGGCCCAACCCCCGGACUGCUCUGGGAACUGUAUAGCUAGAGUGCAGGAGAGGCAAGUGGAAUUCCUAGUGUAGCGGUGAAAUGCGUAGAUAUUAGGAGGAACACCAGUGGCGAAGGCGGCUUGCUGGACUGUAACUGACGUUGAGGCUCGAAAGCGUGGGGAGCAAACAGG